rnacentral:rRNA from 1 species
UCGAGAAUCUUCGGCAAUGGGCGAAAGCCUGACCGAGCGAUGCCGCGUGCGGGAUGAAGGCCUUCGGGUUGUAAACCGCUGUCGUAGGGGAGAAAGGGUCGUUGAAGAAACGACUUUGAUCUAUCCUAGGAGGAAGUCCGGGCUAAGUUCGUGCCAGCAGCCGCGGUAACACGAACCGGACAAACGUUAUUCGGAAUUACUGGGCUUAAAGGGUGCGUAGGCGGUGCGGUAAGUGCGGUGUGAAAUCCCACGGCUCAACCGUGGAAUUGCGCUGCAUACUGCCGUGCUAGAGGGAGACAGGGGUAAGCGGAACUGAUGGUGGAGCGGUGAAAUGCGUUGAUAUCAUCAGGAACACCGGUGGCGAAAGCGGCUUACUGGGUCUCUUCUGACGCUGAGGCACGAAAGCUAGGGUAGCGAACGGGAUUAGAUACCCGCGUAGUCCCUGAGCGGGCUGGCAAGGCGCAU